UUCACACUUUUCAAGUAUCGUUAAUAUUUUCAUUGACUAAUGCUUACUUUUCGUGGAGUUGUGAAAAUAUUAAAUAUUGAAAAUUCAGCGGUUUUAGUGAAAAAUGUGAGUGUUUAACAAAGGUCGAAAUAGAAAUCCCAUUCGGAGAUAUGUUUGGGCCGUGAGUUUACAUUACUUAGCCUCCAAUAAAUCCGCAUGUAAUAUUUUUAUAAAGGCAGCAUUAGCCUUUCAGUCUCUUAUAGAUUCUUUGCGUUACAAGAUACUUGAAAAAGAAAUCUAUUCGUUACAAAUAACCAAUUCUUCGUGGGUGUUAGCUCCAAAAAAUCUAUUAAAAAUAUUAAAAGCAGUAUAACAUCAAUCAAUCGUCAAGGUUAACAUAGUGACAAUUUGUGAUUCUGAGUGAUUACAAGUGAUUUGGCCGUUUGUGUAAGCACCCACCCAGCAAUACAACAACACACCAAUGCCCUACAUAAUAAUACGUG
rnacentral:sRNA from 1 species